GGUUGGCUGCCCUGGAGGCUAAAUUGCUGGCAUCUCAACCUUCCAGAGAGGAUUACUCAACUGAGGGGGAGAGAGCAGCAGAAAAAGCAAAAGGAAAGAGGGUGAUAACAGGGGUGUCUGAAGAACUGAUUGAUUCUGCUCUUAGGCAUCAAUUCAGUUACAGUCAUGAUGAAUACAUCCCUGAGUUUGUGGAUGACAGGGUGAUUAGGAUGGUUGGUGCUGAGAAUGAAGAUCUUGAAGAAGGAGAAAUCCCAGACGCUGAAGUCUUUGCUGAUGAACUUGCAUAUCACAAUGACAUCUUUCCUGCUGAAGAGUUUGAAAUUGCAAAUCCACAAGACAUUGCUAAUGUUGCUAGGGAUUAUGCUGAGCAAAGGAGAGCAAGGGAGAAGUUAGAAAACCAAAGACGGAUUCGAAGGGAAAGGAGACUUGCCAACUUACAUAAAGAUGGAGCUGAAUGGGAUGCUGCUAGAUCUGUGUUUGACUUUCCAGAGGUCACUCAAGAUAAUGAUGAUGACGAAGUAAAAGAUAUCUUUGACUCCUUCAGGAACAACUACAAAGAUUUACAUGAUUAUCACGAGGUGUUGAAUGAUAUCAUUUCUACUGUGUCUGUUGCUGUUCUUCCCAGAAGAGGAUGGAUGGUUAACAUAUCAUUUGAGCUACAAAGAGAAGGCCAUGGACUCAAGCAUGUGUCAAGUCAGUUUCUCAGAGAUCUAUCUUUAACUGAGCUGUUUGUGGUAAGAAACAAGAUCAUCUCUACCGGCAGAAAGCAUAAUGAAGUAUUCAGAGAUAUGGUGGAAGAAUGGAUCACUGAUAUUGGAGUUGAAAUUCAUGACAAGCCCUCAGUUAUUAAGUACUUCAAGGAUGGUAUGAUUCAGAGUAUUGGACUCACUGAUGAAGCACUAUCAACAUACAAUCCUCGUAUACUGAAAUAUCUGGAAGCUCAAGUCAGGGAGAAGUGCUCAAGGACUAGCAAGGGAAGACUAACUGCUGAA
rnacentral:lncRNA from 1 species